GACGAACGCUGGCGGCGUGCUUAACACAUGCAAGUCGAACGGAAAGGCCUCUUUCGGGGGGUACUCGAGUGGCGAACGGGUGAGUAACACGUGAGUAACCUGCCCUUGACUUUGGGAUAACUUCAGGAAACUGGGGCUAAUACCGGAUAGGAGCUCCUGCUGCGUGGUGGGGGUUGGAAAGUUUCGGCGGUUGGGGAUGGACUCGCGGCUUAUCAGCUUGUUGGUGGGGUAGUGGCUUACCAAGGCUUUGACGGGUAGCCGGCCUGAGAGGGUGACCGGCCACAUUGGGACUGAGAUACGGCCCAGACUCCUACGGGAGGCAGCAGUGGGGAAUAUUGCACAAUGGGUGGAAACCUGAUGCAGCAACGCCGUGUGCGGGAUGACGGCCUUCGGGUUGUAAACCGCUUUCGCUCAUGACGAAGCUUUGUGUGACGGUAGUGGGUAAAGAAGCACCGGCUAACUACGUG
rnacentral:rRNA from 1 species